UGCAGAAUCCCGUGAACCAUCGAGUCUUUGAACGCAAGUUGCGCCCCAAGCCUUUAGGCCGAGGGCACGCCUGCCUGGGUGUCACACAUUGUUGCCUUUGAAACCCUUUCCUUUAAGCGUUUUAGGCGGAAAAUGGCCUCCCGUGCGCCCGUUGUUGUGGUUGGCCGAAAAUGAAGUGCCAAGGUCUCGAGUGCCUCGACCAACGUUGGUUGGCAUGUUCCAAUGACCCUCUUGCUUGGUUGUGUGCGGCUUUGCCUUGGUUUUGGUGCCUAUUGUGACCCAUAUGCGUUGCUUUGUUGACGCUUGCUAUGCGACCCCAGGUCAGGCGGGACUACCCGCUGAGUUUAAGCAUAUCAAUAAGCGGAGGAAAAGAAACUUACCAGGAUUCCCCUAGUAACGGCGAGCGAACCGGGAACAGCCCAGCUUGAAAAUCGGUUGUCUUCGGCAUCCGA
rnacentral:rRNA from 1 species